rnacentral:rRNA from 1 species
UUCGGUGACAAUGCGUUUAUGGGACACACUCGUUCCCAUUUCGAACACGUAAGUUAAGACAUAAACGGUCGAUGGUACUUGUCUGGAGACGGACCGGGAGAGUAGAUGGUUGCCGAAU